AUCAGUUACAAGAUCCAAUAAAAAGAUAAACAGGAACACUUCAUCUCAAGAUUCUGUCUUUAUCUACCAACAUGUGUUGUGGUUCACUGGCAGCAGAUGCAGACUGCUGAGGUCUCUGAGAGCGAGAACUCAGACGAGGGGCCUGCGUGUGAUGCAGGGACGGGACCAGGACUAUCGGAGAUUGUGGAUUCUGGAACAGUA